CCAGGCUCCAGGUGAAGCUUCUCAGCCUGGGCACCAUCACGUACACUAUAAUAUGAAUCAUGACCCCUGGAGUUGUGUGGAGUUUCUGCAUCUCUCCCUCCCCACUGUGGCUACCCUCAUCCAGCAACCAUCCUGUCUCUCACCGGUAUUACCGCAGCUGAGAUCCAGGUCUUAAGGAAGCUGAGAUCCAGGCCAGCAGGGGCCUCACAGUUGGCAGGAUUAUAGGAUCUGGCUCCCAUUUGGGCCUUCCACCUCCGCUGGCCUAAGCAGUCAAGUGUCAGAGAGCACUGGACCUAACAGCUCCCUCACCAGAGCAGCUGUGAUUCCUUCUUCAUUUCCAGCAGGGAAGA